CCAGACUCCUACGGGAGGCAGCAGUAGGGAAUAUUGCUCAAUGGGGGAAACCCUGAAGCAGCAACGCCGCGUGUAUGAAGAAGGCCUUCGGGUUGUAAAGUACUUUCAGCGGGGAGGAAGGCGAUAAGGUUAAUAACCUUGUUGAUUGACGUUACCCGCAGAAGAAGCACCGGCUAACUCCGUGCCAGCAGCCGCGGUAAUACGGAGGGUGCAAGCGUUAAUCGGAAUUACUGGGCGUAAAGCGCACGCAGGCGGUCUGUCAAGUCGGAUGUGAAAUCCCCGGGCUCAACCUGGGAACUGCAUUCGAAACUGGCAGGCUGGAGUCUUGUAGAGGGGGGUAGAAUUCCAGGUGUAGCGGUGAAAUGCGUAGAGAUCUGGAGGAAUACCGGUGGCGAAGGCGGCCCCCCGGACAAAGACUGACGCUCAGGUGCGAAAGCGUGGGGAGCAAACAGGAUUAGAUACCCUUGUA
rnacentral:rRNA from 1 species